AACAGGAUUAGAUACCCUGGUAGUCCACGCCGUAAACGAUGGAUACUAGCUGUUUGGUAGCAAUACUGAGUGGCUAAGCGAAAGUGAUAAGUAUCCCACCUGGGGAGUACGAACGCAAGUUUGAAACUCAAAGGAAUUGACGGGGGCCCGCACAAGCGGUGGAGCAUGUGGUUUAAUUCGAUGAUACGCGAGGAACCUUACCAGGGCUUAAAUGUAGUGGGACAGGCUUGGAAACAGGCCCUUCUUCGGACUCAUUACAAGGUGCUGCAUGGUUGUCGUCAGCUCGUGCCGUGAGGUGUCAGGUUAAGUCCUAUAACGAGCGCAACCCCUGUUGUUAGUUGCCAGCGAGUCAUGUCGGGAACUCUAACAAGACUGCCGGUGCAAACCGUGAGGAAGGUGGGGAUGACGUCAAAUCAUCACGGCCCUUACGUCCUGGGCUACACACGUGCUACAAUGGCCGGUACAGAGAGCAGCCACUGGGCGACCAGGAGCGAAUCUAUAAAACCGGUCACAGUUCGGAUUGGAGUCUGCAACCCGACUCCAUGAAGCUGGAAUCGCUAGUAAUCGGAUAUCAGCCAUGAUCCGGUGAAUACGUUCCCGGGCCUUGUACACACCGCCCGUCAAACCAUGGAAGCUGGGGGUACCUGAAGUCGGUGACCGCAAGGAGCUGCCUAGGGUAAAACUGGUAACUGGGGCUAAGUCGUAACAAGGUAACC
rnacentral:rRNA from 1 species